GUUGCUUCUCGGCCUUUUGACUAAGAUCAAGUGUAGUAUCUGUUCUUAUCAGUUUAAUACCUGAUACGUCCUCUAUCCGAGGACAAUAUAUUAAAUGGAUUUUUGGAGCAAGGAGUUGGAAUAGGAGCUUGUUCCGUGCACUCCAUGCGUUGACCCGGUAUUGCAGUACUUCUAGUGCACCAAAA